GCAAACGUUUGGAGUCGCUACACAAAUCCCAAUUCGCAACGCAAGGAUGGUGAAGUAAAAAAAAAUUGCUGUCGGGUGGGGACAGUGCGAUUUCCCUCACUCUUGGCGUGCCAAGUACCCCAACUACCCCGCGACUCAAGUAUAUGCAUUUGAGCCCUGAGGUGGUAAAUCAACAUCGCCAGAGCUCCAAUUUAAUUUACUUUCCUUGAACUAGACAAGUUGUGUUCUUCUGAGUUCAGAUGUUGCUCCUUCUGGUGAUUCUUGUGAUUCAGAGUUUUGGAGCUGAUUCAAAUGCCAGCUGUAUUAAGAAUGAGAGAGAUGCCCUUCUCAAGUUUAAACAAGGCCUCACCGACCCUUCAAACAGAUUGGUGUCUUGGGUUGGAGAAGACUGUUGUUCAUGGGAGGGAAUCAGCUGUAGCAACAGAAAUGGGCAUGUUGUGAAGCUUGACCUUCGAAAUCCUCAGGGAAGCAGAGACCGGUGGAAAUUAAAGAAAUCCCUCCUUGGAGGUGAGAUCAGCCAUUCUUUACUUAAUUUGACACGCCUCAAUUAUCUAGACCUGAGUAUGAACAAUUUCUCAGAAAUUGGAAUUCCAGCAUUUCUAGGUUCCUUCAAAAUGUUAAAUUAUCUAAACCUUUCUGCAGCAGAAUUCAUGGGAACGCUUCCCCAUUUCCUUGGUAACCUUUCAAGCUUGCAGUUUCUUGAUCUCAGCUACAAUUCAGAAUUGAUAGUUGAUAGCCUCUUCUUUGCUUCUACCCUUACUUCCUUGAAAUAUCUAGAUCUGUCUGAUUUGCAUCUCUCUAAGGUUGAUGACUGGUUAAGCUCGCUAAAUAUGCUUCCUUCUCUAGUGGAGCUACACAUGUCUUCUUGUUCUCUUCACUCUUUUCCUCCCUUUGUACAUGUUAAUUUCACAUCUCUUGCCAUUCUUGAUCUCAGUUCCAAUGACUUCAAUUCCACGAUUCCACAUUGGUUUUCUAAUAUUAGCAACAUUCAAAAUCUUGAUCUGAGUGGAAGUGCAUUGCGAGGCUCCCUGCGCGAGCUGGGUGAUUAUAGUCUUCUUGAAUUCCUUCAUUUGCAUGAUAAUGACCUGGAGGAUGAAAUACUAGAGUCAUUGAUGAAUAAUUUUUGUAAUUUGCUUGAGCUGGACUUGGGUUCCAACUCUUUCAGCGGUGAUAUUGGUAAACUUUUUGGCAACUCAUCUGGUUGCAUCCAGAGUAGUUUAAGGAAAAUGGAUCUUUCUGAUAAUAAUUUCAGAGGUAGUCUUCCGGAUAUGUUGAGACAAUUUAAACAUCUAGAAUAUCUAGAUCUUUCUCAUAACUGCUUUCUGGGUCCAAUCCCUGAAUCAAUUGGAAGAAUAUCAAGCUUGAAAGGAUUAUUUCUCAAUUACAAUUGUCUGAAUGGAAGCAUACCAGCAAGUCUGGGACAGCUUUCCAAGCUAGAAAUUUUAGAGAUCAGCAACAAUUUCUUGAAUGGGAGUAUCCCAGAAAGUCUUGGACAGCUUUCCAACCUAGAUGUUUUAGAUAUCCAUGACAACUCAUUGGAUUGUAUAGUCUCCAAGCUUCACUUCUCGCAACUUAAGAGCUUGACUCGAUUGGUUAUGUAUGGGAAUUCACUUGUUUUUGACAUUGAACCAACAUGGGUAGCUCCUUUUCAGCUUCAAUCCAUUUAUUUGUCAUCCUGCAAAGUGGGGCCAAAGUUUCCACAGUGGCUUAUAUCACAAAGGAAUCAUUCGUUGGAAUUUCUUGACCUCUAUAAUACAAGCAUAUCUGAUACCAUCCCGGAUUGGUUUGAAAACAUUUCCUCCAAUAUCCAGUGGUUGGAUCUCUCUCACAAUCAAAUUACAAAGCACUUGCCGAAGUUGAAGAGAAAAUCUUUGGAAGGUUCUACAAGGGUCAUAUACUUGAAUUCCAACAAGUUUGAGGGUCCUGUGACUGCUUUUCCUACAGAUGUGGAAGUAUUAGAUAUCUCCAACAACUUUCUUUCGGGCCAAAUUCCACAAGAAAUUGGCAAAAUGAUGCCAAUUUUGAGAUUUUUCUCUCUCUCCAACAACAAUUUGAAUGGUAGCAUUCCAACUUCUUUGUGCAAGAUGGCACAACUAAGUUAUCUUGAUCUUUCAAGGAAUCAACUCUCAGGAGCUCUUCCUCAAUGCUGGCAGGAAAUGGAAUUUUUACAGGUGUUUGAUGUGGGAAAUAACAACUUGAGUGGUCACAUUCCAGUUUCUUUGGGUUCUUUAAAGAACCUCGGAUCCUUGCACAUGGAGAACAACAAUUUGGAGGGAAAUAUCCCUACAUCUCUGCAGAAUCUGGGAAAUCUAUUGACUCUUGAUCUCAGUGAAAAUGCAUUAACAGGUGCAAUUCCUCCUUGGAUAGGUGAAAAUCUAUCUUCACUUGCCAUACUUAGUAUCCAUUCUAACAUGUUUGAAGGGGAGAUUCCACCACAGCUUUGUGGCCUUGCUUCUCUUCGCAUACUGAACUUGGCAAAGAAUAAGGUGACAGGAACUAUUCCUCCUUGUUUUGGCAAUUUCACUUCGAUGAUUGUUGAUGAUCCGGAUUUUGUUGAUUAUUGGUUAUCUUCUUUUGCUUUCCCUGUCCUUUUUCAAAUGCCUAACCGCUGGACAGCAUAUCAAGAUCAUGUUUUGGCCUACAUAAAAGGAAGAGCACUUGUAUAUAACAAAACACUUGUAUUUCUCUUCUCCAUUGAUGUUUCAGAAAAUAAUAUUUUUGGAGAGAUACCAAAUGAGCUAGUGAAUCUCUCCUUGAUACAAAACCUGAAUCUGUCUAGAAACAAUUUCAAGGGCCAAAUUCCUCCACAGAUUGGCAAGUUGAAGUCAUUAGAAUCACUCGAUUUAUCUGGAAAUGAACUUUCAGGCUUAAUUCCUCCAAGCAUUUCUGCUUUGAACUUUUUAAGUUACCUGAAUUUGUCAUUCAAUAACUUAUCCGGACCCAUUCCUCAUGGGAAUCAACUCCAAACCCUGGAUGACAAAUCCAUUUACAUUGGCAACAGCGGAUUAUGUGGAUCUCCUCUAGAAAGUUGCCAAGAGAUGGAGCCGCCUGAACACGGCAAGCCUGUUAAAGAAAGUAACAAGGAUGAGUUUGAGAUACUUUGGUUUUACUGUGGCUUGGGAGUGGGUUUUAUGGCUGGAUUUGUGGGACUGUGCAGCACUCUGUACUUCAAGACUCCCUGGAGACAUGCAUACUUCCAAUUGGUAGAAAAAAUAUACAACGAUAUUUCGGUGAUAGUUGCAAUAAAGAUAAACCAUUUCCGGAGAAAGUUCAGUAGAAGUGAAUCUAGAGGGUGACCAUGAUAAAGAUUAGUUUCCUCUCUCACACAAGAUCUAGAGUGAAGGUUGAAAUAUUUUCGCUGCACUUUGUUUUAGCUUUGAUUGCUGUGCUGCUUCUAAAGGUGAUAAUGUAUGUUACUUGUGUGUCUUUCUAUACCUUUGUUGGGGUAAUAAUCUCCAUGAUUGUUAAAUCAACAACACACCAAGGGACUUGAUGUUCCAUUACACAUCUGUAAUACUACAUCUUCCUUAUUGCAUCUUACUAGGGAUUUUGUCUGGCAAUGGGAUUAUUAAUAGUUUUUGAAAAUUAUUUUUCCAUUUUCUUUUUUAUUUCCAGGGAAAAACCGUUUUCUAUUUGCUGCUUGAUAUUAAUAUUUUUUUUUAAAUCAAUAGUUUCCCCAAAAUUGUUAAACCUGCACCGGAUAAUAUAAAAGGAUAUUAAAAGGCGUGGAUUCAAAUAUUCUUGAAGUGGGGAUGUUGGUUCUGGUCGUUGAUGAGGGGUUGUUGCUUAUUGCAGUGGAGAGAAGCUUCGGCCUAGAAAAAGAAAAUGAAUUUAAGAGAAAACGAUUCUUGUUCAUUGGUGAGAGGGAUCUUGCCCAUAUAGUUGAAGACAAGUGGUGUAGUAUUGUAAUAGUAAA
rnacentral:misc_RNA from 1 species